CGCCAGGAGCUGGAUGCAGCUAAGGUGUUCAUCUCAACUUUCUGAAGGCAAUUUAGGUCCAGACACGGCUAGUGACGUCAGACUGAACAACCGGAUUGAACGAGGAGGACCCAGAAUCCAGCCCUGUGUGAAGCUGAAGAGGCUGAAAAUUACAGGUUAUCUGUGGAAGCCUGCAUCAAGAAGGUGGUGACACUUGUCAUUAAAAAUGCCAGUUCACCUUCCUCUACGGAAAAAGUUGAUGCCAUCACCCAACGGCUGUUCAUAAAACUCUGGCCUAGACUUAAAAAGAUCAAAGUUGAUAAUGUGAUAUGGUUUAUAGCUCCUUAAUACAGAAAUGGAAAGAGCCAGAUGUCAUACAUAUUCAUGGUAUUAGACCAUGAAUAUGCAGAUGAUGUAAUUGUAAAGGUUUUCAAGGAGCAUGCCAUCACUGUAUUGGAAAGUGAACAUUUCAUCACAAGCUUCUUUCUCUGUGUGGGUCAUGCUGUAUGGAUCGCAGGCAGAAAAUACUUGGUUACUGUUGUGUAAGUCCCUAAAAGUAGAUUUUGUUUAUCUGGAUGCAGGAUUUUCAGUUUCAAUUUAUUUAAGUAAUUAUAAUAAAGGUCAAUCAAAUGGACCAAUAUGGCAAGGCCAUGAUGAUCCACUUGGUAAAAUAAAUCCGUUUGGCAUCUUUCUUGGCCUUAAGACAACAAUUCUGAUGGCUAAAGAUCCAAACGGGACACAAGAAAAAAACAAAAACAAAACACGUGUUGUCUGACAACAGUAUCAAAGAUUUGCAUAUACAUAAAAAAAACCUGAAAGAUCUGGACCGGGCCAUUUACAAAGAGCUACGUCAGAAAACAUUCUGUAAAGAAAAACAUUUACUGAUGUUACUGAACAACGAGGACCCAGUGUUGAGAAAACUGACGGUCGAUAUCAUUAAAAAUCACCUGAUCGACACUAUGCAGAAUCCAGCCCUGUGUGAUGCUGAAGAGGCUGAAAAUUACAGGUUAUCUGUGGAAGCCUGCAUCAAGAAGGUGGUGACACGUGUCAAUAAAAAUGCCAGUUCACCUUCCUCUACUGAAAAAGUUGAUGCCAUCACCCAACGGCUGUUCAUAAAACUCUGGCCUAGACUUAAAAAGAUCAAAGUUGAUAAUGUGAUAUUCAUCAGUGAUUGUCAGGGUCCCUGAGCAGUUAUGAAUUAUAUUAUUAUUAUUAUUAUUGUAUGUAUAUUUGGUGUUGCUGUCCUUCUCCCUGUUUGCGUGUGUGUAUAUGUGUUUCAGUGGGUGCCUUCAGGCCUGGUGGGUGUGGCCCUGCUGAUGGUCUGGCCACACCCGAAGCCACACACCUGCUGCUGGUCAGGCCUCGUCGGGGGUGCUACUUAGGAGAGUCUUGGAGCUCCCACCGACGUGGGAUCAUUGCGAGAAGUGUGGAGCGCCAGACAGCAGCCAGCACGAGGAGUGCUGAGACACGGGAGCGGAGAGCACUGAGACACGGACUGGUCACGGAGAGACACGACACGGGAGUCAGGGGAAACCACGGGGAUUUAUUGUUGUUAUUUCCACACACUGUAAAUAAACGUACUGCUUGUACAUAGAGCACCGCGCCUGGGUCCUCCUUCCCCACAACCCCCACGGUUUGCCAUGCCAAACCGUGACAGUGAUAUGGUUUACAGCUCUUUAAUACACAAAUGGAA
ensembl:lncRNA